CGCCGGCAGCUCGACACCCGUGUACGCUGUCAGCGCGCGGAGCAUUCCGCAGCCCGCGGUGAAGUGUUAGCAAGUUCACACCGCGCUCGCUGGCUGGCAAACUCACCGCAUGCUCGAGGGGCGAAUCCAAUCUGCAAGCCAUCUAUCUUCACAGCAGGCAGCGGCACACCGGUCAAAAAGCAGUGUCAUCUAUCAAGCUGGUGGCUGGUGGGAGUUGUAGUUUUGUUUCCUAUCAGAAAGAUGGAACCAUGGGGCUGUCAGAACGGCAAGAAAUGAAUGGCAUGGUAAAAAUGUAGCUAAGUUCAGAGAUGUGCAGGAGACACUACUGAGAGCUCAGGAAACAAUGUAAAUGAAGACGUGGACUGCAGCCACAAGCAGAAACAACGACUGCUAAACCAAUCCAUGGAUGCUGGAAGGGGUCCCCACAGGGAGGCGUGUCUGCUGGAAGUGAGGAGGUCGAAUCGGUGGAUGGAUCUGUUCAUCGGGUUUGGUCUAGCAUGGCACCCAUCAUAAGCAGUUUGGCAAUGGAGAUUCUGCACAGCUGGUUUUGUGGGGACGACUGAAAGUGAGUGUCCCUGUGUGGAGCCGUCACCGGAAACCGGCCCCUAGAGUCUCCCAUCACAGAGCUCAGGCUGAAGGAGCCAAAAGCAAAAACUCAUGUUCGCUCUUGUUUUUUUUCCGCUCAAACUUCAGUGCCUAAGUCCUGCAUAAACUUCCUUUGCUCUUUGAACAAAGAGACCCUAAUUAGGCGAGAUUCAAGACUCGCCGUGCAUUAUGGCAAGAUCAGGCGGAUUAUGUAAUAUUCUCGCCCACUCCCCCUUUUUCUCGUCUGUCAUCCUUCAUUCUAAAUUUCACCCUUUCUUUCUGCAUCUCGAUUCAAUGCGGCAUGCCGGUGAGUCAGCUGCGAGGGGUUCUGGUCCGCCCCGGCCGACUGGCAACCCGGCCACCUCCUCCGUGUAACCCGGUUUCACCGCGCUGACGCAGAACGAAGGAUGUCACCUCUCAUACGCUGCCUCGGUAAUGCACCCCUUCGCUUUAUUGCAGACAGUGUGCCCUCCGCUGUGACACCUGCAUAAAGGCAUUUUACAAGGCAAUAGACUUAGAGGAGCAGAUGCAAACUGUCUUAAAGUGACAGUUCAGGAUUAAGGGCACUUGAA